rnacentral:snRNA from 1 species
GUGCUCACUUCCUCAGCACCUAUACUAAAAUUAGAAGGAUACAGAGAAGAUUAGCAUGGCUCCUGUGCAAGGAUGAUACAUAAAUUUGUGAAGCAUGCCAUAUUUUG